AGAGUUUGAUCAUGGCUCAGAGCGAACGCUGGCGGCGUGCCUAACACAUGCAAGUCGAACGUGAAAGGGAGCAAUCCUGAGUAAAGUGGCGUACGGGUGAGUAACGCGUAGGUAAUCUACCCUAGAGUCUGGAAUAACCUGCCGAAAGGCGGGCUAAUACUGGAUAGAGCGAUGGAAUCCGUAAUUGGGUUUUUCGGGAAAGGGAGCUCGUAAGAGCCUUCGUUUUGGGAUGAGCCUGCGUCUCAUUAGCUAGUUGGUGGGGUAAAGGCCCACCAAGGCGAUGAUGGGUAGCUGGUCUGAGAGGAUGAUCAGCCACACUGGAACUGAAACACGGUCCAGACUCCUACGGGAGGCAGCAGUGGGGAAUCUUGCGCAAUGGACGAAAGUCUGACGCAGCCACGCCGCGUGAGUGAAGAAGGCCUUCGGGUUGUAAAGCUCUGUCGCCCGGGACGAAAAUCUAAGAAGUGAAUAGCUUUUUAGACUGACGGUACCGGGAGAGGAAGCACCGGCUAACUCCGUGCCAGCAGCCGCGGUAAUACGGAGGGUGCAAGCGUUGCUCGGAAUUAUUGGGCGUAAAGGGUAGGUAGGUGGUCUCAUUUGUCUGGGGUGAAAGCCUUGGGCUUAACUCAAGAAGUGCCCCAGAAACGGUGAGACUGGAGUCCUGGAGAGGGUCGUGGAAUUCCCGGUGUAGCGGUGAAAUGCGUAGAGAUCGGGAGGAACACCAGAGGCGAAAGCGGCGACCUGGACAGGCACUGACACUCAACUACGAAAGCGUGGGGAGCAAACAGGAUUAGAUACCCUGGUAGUCCACGCUGUAAACGAUGGGUACUAGGUUUGGUGGGUCUUGACCCCCGCCGAACCGGCGCUAACGCACUAAGUACCCCGCCUGGGAAGUACGGUCGCAAGACUAAACUCAAAGGAAUUGACGGGGGCCCGCACAAGCGGUGGAUCAUGAGUUUAAUUCGAAGCAACGCGAAGAACCUUACCUGGAUU
rnacentral:rRNA from 1 species